UCUACACACAGGAAAUGAACUCUCUAACCUAGGAAGUGACCAGGUAAAAAUAUGUCAAGAUAAACUUCAAUAGGACUGCUCAAUCACCCAAAGUCCUGAUACACCUACAACUCAUUAAGUGUAGCUGGCCAGGUGUAUUAGACAGAAGCUGUAUGUAACCUCUUCAAUAGUCAGAGGAUGUCAAAAGGCCUUACUUUGGUUACUGGGACCUGGAAUGAUUGCCAGAAGACAAGGGUGUGAGAGCGUGGGAAGCACUCUGGAAAUGCUUUACCUCCAGGUGUCCCUUCCAAAGAUAUGGUCAAAAACAAAGAGAUCAGCACAAACGAACACAGGUGGAUCUUUUCAGGAGUAUAAGAAACUGGGUUACCUUUGAAUGACCUUGACCUCUGACCCAUUGGUAUUCUGAUGUUAGUAACACCUGUUUCCAUGAAUCUGCUCUAGAAGCUGGCCUAUAGAUGCACAUGAAACACCUGAGGCAGACAAAGGAAGGGUGCUGAAGGACUGAUGAUCUGUGGUCAGCCAUUAUGGGGAGACAUUUUGGCACUAACGAUAAGGUCAUACGUUGACGGUAAAGCACACCAAAUAAGGUAACUAUCUGCUAUAAAACAGACAUACUACAUCCUGUCCACGGAAUGAAAGCCUUCCAGUUUGGCUUAUACUUGCUGAUCAAUCACGAUCUACAUGUUUUUCAAAGCUUUUUCUCUGCCAACCAUUGCAAUAAAACGUCUUUCUCUCUUUCAAUCCUGAUCCUUAACAUUGCUAUUUUGUGUGGAGAUGUGCUUUAGAUACUCUGAUCAGGCUUAGAGCCAGCCUAUAGAGAGUUGGAUCGGGUCACAGACAGCUUGUCACCCAUUAGGCCUAUAUAGCUGUGUGAGGACAGCCCAUUUCAGGGCUAUUAUUAGAGAUUUAUAGUGAGGUCCAGUGCGACUGUGAUCCGACAGAUUAGGGUAAUGAUGAUUGGUGGUGAGCGUGAUCAGGUCCUGUGUCAUAAGUUCAGCAGUACUCUGAAGGCUAAUACAGCCGUCUGUUCCAGAUACAUUUAUAAUCCAAAAUUGUUUAAGUUAACUUUAAACACAUUAUCUAAACAGAUCAAGGAUUAUUGACCUAUAUCAAUGUAGCACAACUGAACAUGUUGUUUUUUGAACAAUUUUAAAAGGUAGGGUUAGAAGAUUAUGUUUGCAGGUUUUUCAUGAGCCUCAUAAAAAAUACUAUUUUGAGCCACCACUUAAUCAGAAAUUGUUUCCGUUAAUUGAAAAGUGUUUUCUCUGACAGCUAUCCUGAUUGGUUGAGUAUCUGUGGUGAAGAAGACCUGGAGGACGGCCUGGAGGGAGUCGGUUUAUGGGGUGGAGGAGUCAUGUUUUAUAUCCCAGUAAUGAAUUGCUUUCCAGGAGGAGGUGACGUUCAUAGGUGAUCUGGGGAUAGUUUAUGUGGACUGGGAUAUCAUCUUAAAUCACCUCUUACAUUCAAAGCUGUGGCCAAUAUGCUUUAUGAAGUAAGGAAAGUUUAAGAUAGGGAAUCAUAUAUGGCAUUGAAAGACAUGAAAUAUGUACGGCACUAGGUGAAUGUCAGCUUAACAUCUUAUUACAUAAUAAAUGGAAAACAUAUUAGCACUCAAAACUGACAUUAAGGUUUCCUUAGAAGUGUAUGUUAUGAGCCCUCUAGUGGUUCCCUAUAAACUAAGUUUUCCCCUUAUUAGCUUUGAAUAAAUACUAAUAGAUUCGAGGUGGAGGUCAAAUUUUGAAAUAAUAAUGUGUUUAAGAGAGCAAACAGAUAUUUUGAGGAGUAAAAGCAUAGCUAGGAAUUGUGCAUAUGAAACUUCUCAGAAUCAAGAUAUUAAGUUAUUGUUGGUUACAAUUGUGAAAUGAUUGAUGAAGAUGCUCAGAAGAUGCAAUCGUCAUGCAGAAGUAAUUAUACACACCACACAAACUACAAACAUUAUCAUGAAAUAUGUGGAAGACAGAAAAUUGCAUCAAAUUGCAAACCAAAAGGAAAGCAAGCUAAAUUAGGUGCAACAAAGGUCCUG